rnacentral:lncRNA from 1 species
CCACUGUGCAGUUCUUUAUCCUCUCCAAGUCCUUCUUCAAAAUUUUCUGCUUCUUUACCGUGUGUGGUACACCACAAAUACCUGCUCGUGGCUAGGCAGGUAGAAAGCUGUACUUUCAGCUUUUGAUGGGCCAAGAACUGCGUAUCUGCUCUUUUAUCUGGAUGAUGUUGCUCUAUCUAUUCCUCUUCCAGCCCUUUGGUUCAUCUGUUGUUGUGUAUGUUUCCCAGAUGAAGCUCUCCUCCAGCACGUUGUCAUGUUCGUGAGUGGACAAGUGCUAGGGACCAUCAGACUCUACCUUGCCAGAUAUGUGGAAGGAGAGUCAUAACAGAAGAGAUUCUCAUUAUAUUAAGGAGGAGGAUUUUAAGCUUGGGCUUUAAGAAAGAUGUUGACAAAAUGGGGAGAGUGAAGAAAAAAACAAGUAAAAUGGGAAGAAAUUUAGAAAAUGUGGCCUAUGAAAAAAAGAUUGAAUAAAUUAGACUUGUUUACUCCAGAACAAGGAAAACUGAAGAGACUUCAUGGAGGAAGGCUGGUAAUAACCUUCUUAAAAGUAGAAGAUGUAAAGGACUAUCUAGUAUCAGAUAAGGAAAUAUCACCUUCCCUUUAUAAGAAAAGGAGUAAGCAGAGUGAAGAUCAGCCAACUACUUCCACCUCUGUUCUUACACCAAGGUCUCAUCAGUAGAUGAAUGGCUUGAGAAACAACAGAUUUCAUGUUUGGAGACUGGAAACUGUGACAAAAGUACUGUGGGAAGCACAGAAGGGAUUAACUGUAACUGCUGUGUCAGUCAUCUUUCUACACUGUUUAUCGCUUCUUCCACAGAGUGCUAUACUUUUCCUUGUCUUAUGCAAUGUGCUAGCAUUAACGCGAAAGACAGUCCCGCUCUGAAGAGGUGAACAGAGAAGGGCAACUUUGUUUUGCAGAGGAUUGUGCUAUUUCAGAAUACAAUUUCUUUCUGUCUGGAGCAAUCCCCUAUUUAGAAAAAAGGAGUGGAACUGUGGCUCUGGGGAACUGCCUGAGGUGGAGUGCCCUGAGCCAUGAGCAAGAGGACUCCCCACGCAGCAGGCUGCCCCACAGCUGUGGACACUGAGAGCUCCAGCUAUCAAGGAAAUGAGAGCUUGGAAGCCCUAGAGCCAAGGCUCCCGGCACUUCCCAGAUCUCUGCCAAGGAACCAGGUCAGCAAGCUGUCAGGAAGCUG